rnacentral:rRNA from 1 species
AGUCGUAACAAGGUUUCCGUAGGUGAACCUGCGGAAGGAUCAUUACCGAGUGAGGGCCCUCUGGGUCCAACCUCCCACCCGUGUUUAUUAUACCUUGUUGCUUUGGCGGGCCCGCCUCACGGCCGCCGGGGGGCUUUUGCCCCCGGGCCCGUGCCCGCCGAAGACACCUAGAACUCUGUCUGAAGAUUGUCGUCUGAGUAUAAAUAUAAAUUAUUUAAAACUUUCAACAACGGAUCUCUUGGUUCCGGCAUCGAUGAAGAACGCAGCGAAAUGCGAUACGUAAUGUGAAUUGCAGAAUUCAGUGAAUCAUCGAGUCUUUGAACGCACAUUGCGCCCUCUGGUAUUCCGGAGGGCAUGCCUGUCCGAGCGUCAUUGCUGCCCUCAAGCACGGCUUGUGUGUUGGGCCCCGUCCUCCGCUCCCGGGGGACGGGCCCGAAAGGCAGCGGCGGCACCGAGUCCGGUCCUCGAGCGUAUGGGGCUUUGUCACCCGCUCUGUAGGCCCGGCCGGCGCUUGCCGAUCAACCAAAUUUUUUCCAGGUUGACCUCGGAUCAGGUAGGGAUACCCGCUGAACUUAAGCAUAUCAUUAA